GUCAUUUUUAAUAUCUAGUUAAAUCUUUUGUUGAUAAAAUAAGUAAAGACUUCAAUCUUUUGAAGCAAAAGGUUGGAUUCUAGGAGUUCUUCUUGACGUUUAGCAUACAUCCCUCUGACAACAAUGAAUUUAAAACAGAAUGUGUGCACAUAACAAUUCAACUCUAAACGGGCUUUGCUAAUUGCCUGGAAAUAGCAGGAGCAAAAAGUUGCAAACAGUCUCAAAGUACACGAACGGCCUCUGGCCCUACACUGAAAAACUGAGACAGUGAGAUCAAGAGAGAGAAACGAGCCCCUCAGCAAAAUUAAAAGUAGUAUAGUUCCUGUUUUGAGCCACCGGCAUGGUAGUUUCUGGAGCCGCAGUGCAAAUCACAGCUCAAAAAUGUUCAGCGGGGCCCCGGCUCGUGCCACAAAAAGGCUUUCAAAAAAACAUUUAAGUUUAUCAACGGCCCUUCCAGGAGAAGUGUAGGGCAAAGUUACUGCAGAACCUUCCCAUCAAAGCUUCACAGAAAGAAGUCGAAAAUACAGGACGGAACCAACACAACGAGGACUAUGCGGACAGAGAGAGAAAACCAGAAACCGUUGUUCACAAGCAAAACACAGUGCUAUUGUCAAGGCGGUGUUUGACCAUACACAAGCCCCACGUGGGUGUCGGGGCGACCCUGUGACUUCACAGGCAUUUCUGUCUGGACCAUCUACCUAGGCUGCCCCACCUCUUGUCCUUCAGAAUACGGGGCAGUGGCAGCACUGGAAUGUCAAGCCUGUCUGAAGGGCAUCUGGUUCAGCCGUUUUGAGGUGGAGGGAGGGGAGGGAGAGACCCUCAGGGAGGGAGCAAAGAGGAAACUGCAUCAUCGAGAUGAGCACUUCCUGUUGGUGUGAACAUCUCUCUCCUCUUCCACCCAGAAGAUCCGAGAGGCCGCGGUGGGUCUGAGGCUGAUGUGCAGAUUCGUCCACUGGCCUCUUUCCCACUCCAGUGGAGCAAACAGUGUUGCAGAUGGGGAAGCCGGGCUUCGACAGCACCCAGUUAAGCUGAUGGUCACACUUGACACCCUGGGAUGAAGCAAAGAAGGCCACCUGGCAGGAACAUUACACCAACCUGCCAGCUGAACCCUGCAAAUCCACAGCUCCUUGACUGGCUAAGCAGGGGCUUUGAACUAACUCCAUUAUUCAAAGUGAAGACACCCCUGGGGAGAGACAGCAGCAGCUGUACCAGAUAAAACUUCAUAUCAAUAAUUUAGCAGAGAGGAGAUUUUGAUAGGAUACAGGAAAAGGGACCCAGAAAUGAAAUAAAUUGUGCAAGGCAACUGUUCCUUCCUUCCUUGUUUUUGCUGAGUUCGUGAGCCUAGGUGCAAGGUGAGGAAAGGUCUUGUAUUCUCCCCGGCUCCCUGGCUUCCCCUCCCCUACAGGACGAACCUCCGGCUUCAUUAAUGGGCAACAAGCUAGACCAUGGAUGAGACUCUGUGGGCGUGUCUCUUACACAAAGGGGCGGGGCCCACCUACCACGGCCCACAAAUGACCAAACAGACACAAAGGAGUGCUGACCUAGGAUCCUGUGGGAAGGGUGAGGUUAUAGAGACUUCAGGAGCUCCAGAAAAGCAUGGAGCUAGAGGCAGGAAGAACAGGAGGGCACUAGAGGGGAAGAAAGGAAGCCAGAUGGGAAUUUUUGAAGAGGUGGAUUCCAACAACCUAUUUACAAGUCACAUAUCCACUCUUUCAAGAAGUAACAGUUGAAAUAACAUAAAAUACCAUCAAAAUCCCCUGUUGACUGUUAGUUAGCUCCAAUGAAUAGAGGAGGACAGGAUUCGGCAACAAGGUCAACAAGGUCUUAUGAAGUUCCUUUUGUUUCUAUCACUUAACCCCGUGCUUACAGGAAUAAAACGGAGACUAGUGAGCACA